rnacentral:rRNA from 1 species
AACGAACGCUGGCGGCAUGCCUAACACAUGCAAGUCGAACGAAGGCUUCGGCCUUAGUGGCGCACGGGUGAGUAACGCGUGGGAAACUGCCUAUUGGUGGGGAAUAACGACGGGAAACUGUCGCUAAUACCGCAUAAGCCCUUCGGGGGAAAGAUUUAUCGCCGACAGAUGUGCCCGCGUCCGAUUAGCUAGUUGGUGAGGUAAUGGCUCACCCAGGCGACGAUCGGUAGCUGGUCUGAGAGGAUGAUCAGCCACACUGGGACUGAGACACGGCCCAGACUCCUACGGGAGGCAGCAGUGGGGAAUAUUGGACAAUGGGCGAAAGCCUGAUCCAGCAAUGCCGCGUGAGUGAUGAAGGCCUUAGGGUUGUAAAGCUCUUUCGGGUGGGACGAUGAUGACGGUACCACCAGAAGAAGCCCCGGCUAACUUCGUGCCAGCCGCCGCGGUAA